AAGCAAUAGAUGGUUGGCAGAGAAGCUGAAACGACUCGACCUCUACCAGGGCUCAGCUUUCUCAUCACUGAACUGGAGAUACAGGUAGUCCAAUCCACGAAAGUGUGAGAACCAUGAGCCUAGUCUCGACCUCAGGAGUUGCCUGAGGAAACUGAUGCUAAAAAUCCAAGUUGCAAAUCAAAAUAUUAGAAAAAUCAAGCCAUGCUCUAGACUUGGAAGCCCGACACUUAGAUCAUCUCUCUCUGAGCAGAGCCAGCUGUUGGCCCCCAUAGGAGUUGGAGACUUGGAAUCCCCUUUGGUGCAGAAACUAUUCCUUCAUGAGAAGAAGUCCUUAAAUAGGCUCUUUAGACAGGAGGCCACAUGUUGAAGGCAGCAGGGUCACAAGAUGGAAGAACCAGGGUCCCAGUAUCAUCGCUCCCUGCUUCAAGCUGCCAGGGGCAGCCUAACCCACAUGGCAUUAUGACAUAAGAAACAAAGUAACUAUUGUUUUAUUAAAUCAAUGAGAUAUUGGGCUUCUUGUUAUAGCAACUAGUAUAAAUUGCCCUGACUGAUACAUUAUGGAUUUAGAGUGCACUGUACUACAACUGUUUGUUGUAUUUUCAAAAUUGUGGUAUAACUGACUUACAAUAAACUUCAUAUAUUUAAAGAGUACUAUUUAAUAAGUUCAACAUAUUCAUAUAUCCAUGAAACCAUCACCACAAUCAAAAUAAGACACAUUUCCAUCAACUGAAAAAGUCUCCUCAUUCUCCUUUGAAAUCUCUUCUUCC
rnacentral:lncRNA from 1 species